GGGGAGAUGGCUCAGUGGUUCAGAGCACUGGCUGCUCCUCCAGAGGACCAGGGUUCAAGUCCCAGCACCCCCA
rfam:Neotoma lepida isolate 417 scaffold_5066, whole genome shotgun sequence.